rnacentral:rRNA from 1 species
AUAUUGGGCAAAGGAGGAAACUCUGACUCAGCGACGCCUCGUGAGCGAUGAAGGUAUUCGGAUCGUAAAGCUCUGUCUUGGGGGAGGGAGGUCUUCGGACGUGACGGUACCCAAGGAGAAAGCCCCGGCUAACUACAUGACAGCAGCCGCGGUAAUACGUAGGGGGCAAGCGUUGUCCGGAAAUAUUGGGCGUAAAGGGUGCGUAGGCGGCCUUUUAAGUCAGAUGUGAAAGCCCACGGCUUAACCGUGGGAUUGCAUUUGAAACUGGAAGGCUUGAGUAUCGGAGAGGGUAGUGGAAUUCCCAGUGUAGCGGUGAAAUGCGUAGAUAUUGGGAGGAACACCAGUGGCGAAGGCGACUACCUGGACGAAAACUGACGCUGAGGCACGAAAGCUAGGGGAGCAAACA